AUCACCGGGGUCUGACAGACGUUCCUUGUAACAGUCUCUCUCUUUCUCUCUCCACCCAGCGCUAAUCAGCCACACUCAUUACUGACGCUGAUUAAACUGCAAAUUAGCCAGCGGCGGCCCUCGCGCGCUUCGCUCAAUAUCAAUUAAGGCGAGCAGCUUGCGCGCGCUCUCGGGAAUGCCAUCCAAAUGCUUGAUCGUGUCACUUAUUAGUUUGGAAAACUAGGAAAAUACCAAUAAUCAACCGUCAAGGGAAUAAAAGAGACAAACUGGUAAUUCCUGCAGGAACGGUGCUCUGGAAUGGUGCUCAGUAUCAGCACAUCCUGCCACAGUGGAUGAAGAUGAAGACACCACUUCUGCUGUGACAGAGGUACAAAAUGAAGAUGCUGGGAGGACCACAGAGAUUAUGGCUGGGGAUUCCUGUACAGAGGAAGGUCCAUCUACAUCCACACAGAAUCUGCCUGAAAAAGGAGCUGUAUAAGGUCCAUCUUCAAAUGCAAAUUAGAAAAGUUGAUCUGGAGCUGGACCUUCUACAACUACAAAUGGAGAAGAAAAAAAAAACGUGAACUUAAAAAGGCCAGUCUUGAAACUGAAUUGCUGAAGCACUGGUAUUUUUAAGCAAAUAUUAAGUAUUUACCUAGUGAUUAUUGUUGAAUGGUCAAGCAAUAAAUAGAAAUGUCUUUCAAUUAGAGGAAAUAAAGAAACAAUGAACCACACUUAACUGUUCACUUUGUGCAUUAGUCAUUUAAUUAGAAAUGAUGUUGGCAGAUCACAUUACACUCUGCAAUCUCUUUGGUUCACUCUUGCUAUCUUCAUAAAUGGUUCAUCAUGGUUUAUGGCCAGAGAACUUCACAACAUUGUGUAGACCAGCUCAUUGAUGGUUAGACCAAUUUUAAC
ensembl:lncRNA